GUGAACGCUGGCGGUAGGCCUAACACCUGCCAGUCGAACGGCAGCACAGUAAGAGCUUGCUCUUACGGGUGGCGAGUGGCGGACGGGUGAGGAAUACAUCGGAAUCUACUUUUUCGUGGGGGAUAACGUAGGGAAACUUACGCUAAUACCGCAUACGACGUACGGGUGAAAGCAGGGGAUCUUCGGACCUUGCGCGAUUGAAUGAGCCGAUGUCGGAUUAGCUAGUUGGCGGGGUAGAGGCCCACCAAGGCGACGAUCCGUAGCUGGUCUGAGAGGAUGAUCAGCCACACUGGAACUGAGACACGGUCCAGACUCCUACGGGAGGCAGCAGUGGGGAAUAUUGGACAAUGGGCGCAAGCCUGAUCCAGCCAUACCGCGUGGGUGAAGAAGGCCUUCGGGUUGUAAAGCCCUUUUGUUGGGAAAGAAAAGCAGCAGGUUAAUACCCCGCUGUUCUGACGGUACCCAAAGAAUAAGCACCGGCUAACUUCGUG
rnacentral:rRNA from 1 species